rnacentral:lncRNA from 1 species
UCUUCCUAUCACGAGAGCCCCGUCGCUGCCGCGCAAGCGGCGGUCGGUGGGAUCCACGCGCUCUUCUCGACCGGGCCCGUCGAUCCACGUAAAGCGCAGGCACGGCUAACCGACGGAGACGGGCAAACGCACCUCGCCCUUAGCAUGAACGACGCAGCGAGUCGCG